GCCAUACUGGAGAAAUGGUUAUCUCACUGGUUUCCGAAACCAAGGGUUCCGGGUUCGAAUCCCGGGUAUGGCG